UACAGGGGGUGCAAACGUUGCUCGGAAUCAUUGGGCGUAGAGCGCACGUAGGCGGUUCGUUAUGUCGGAUGUGAAAGCCCUUGGCUUAACCGAGGAAGUGCAUUCAAAACUACAAGACUUGAGUAAGGAAGAGGGUCGUGGAAUUCCAGGUGUAGUGGUGAAAUACGUAGAUAUCUGGAGGAACACCGGUGGCGAAGGCGGCGACCUGGUCCUAUACUGACACUCAUACACGAAAGCGUGGGGAUCAAACAGG
rnacentral:rRNA from 1 species